GUUGGAAUCGCUAGUAAUCGCGGAUCAGCAUGCCGCGGUGAAUACGUUCCCGAGCCUUGUACACACCGCCCGUCACACCAUGAGAGUCGGGAACACCCGAAGUCCGUAGUCUAACUUUCACGAGAGGACGCGGCCGAAGGUGGGUUCGAUAAUUGGGGUGAAGUCGUAACAAGGUAAC
rnacentral:rRNA from 1 species